rnacentral:rRNA from 1 species
GGUCAAGUUACAAAGGGCUCACGGCGGAUACCUUGGCACACAGAGGCGAUGAAGGACGUGGUUACCUGCGAUAAGUCUCGGGGAGCUGGAAAUACGCUUUGAUCCGGGAAUUUCCGAAUGGGGCAACCCCUUGUACGGCCAGCUGAAUACAUAGGCUGGCGCGAGCCAACCCAGCGAACUGAAACAUCUUAGUAGCUGGAGGAAAGGAAAGUAAAAACGACUCCCUC